rnacentral:rRNA from 1 species
ACCUGGUCUUGACAUCCCGGAGACCCUUAGGAAACUAGGGGUGCUUCCAUCUGGAAGAAUCUGGAGACAGGUGCUGCAUGGCUGUCGUCAGCUCGUGUCGUGAGAUGUUGGGUUAAGUCCUGCAACGAGCGCAACCCUUGCCUUUAGUUGCCAGCAGUUCGGCUGGGCACUCUAAAGGGACUGCCGGUGUUAAACCGGAGGAAGGUGGGGAUGACGUCAAGUCCUCAUGGCCUUUAUGACCAGGGCUACACACGUACUACAAUGGCCGAUACAAAGGGCAGCGACACUGCGAGGUGAAGCCAAUCCCGUAAAAUCGGUCUCAGUCCGGAUUGGAGUCUGCAACUCGACUCCAUGAAGUUGGAAUCGCUAGUAAUCGUGGAUCAGCAUGCCACGGUGAAUACGUUCCCGGGCCUU